rnacentral:rRNA from 1 species
AUUGAACGCUGGCGGCAGGCUUAACACAUGCAAGUCGAACGGUAGCAGGAGAAAGCUUGCUUUCUUGCUGACGAGUGGCGGACGGGUGAGUAAUGCUUGGGAAUCUGGCUUAUGGAGGGGGAUAACGACGGGAAACUGUCGCUAAUACCGCGUAUUAUCGGAAGAUGAAAGUGCGGGACUGAGAGGCCGCAUGCCAUAGGAUGAGCCCAAGUGGGAUUAGGUAGUUGGUGGGGUAAAUGCCUACCAAGCCUGCGAUCUCUAGCUGGUCUGAGAGGAUGACCAGCCACACUGGAACUGAGACACGGUCCAGACUCCUACGGGAGGCAGCAGUGGGGAAUAUUGCGCAAUGGGGGGAACCCUGACGCAGCCAUGCCGCGUGAAUGAAGAAGGCCUUCGGGUUGUAAAGUUCUUUCGGUAUUGAGGAAGGUUGAUGUGUUAAUAGCACAUCAAAUUGACGUUAAAUACAGAAGAAGCACCGGCUAACUCCGUGCCAGCAGCCGCGGUAAUACGGAGGGUGCGAGCGUUAAUCGGAAUAACUGGGCGUAAAGGGCACGCAGGCGGUUAUUUAAGUGAGGUGUGAAAGCCCUGGGCUUAACCUAGGAAUUGCAUUUCAGACUGGGUAACUAGAGUACUUUAGGGAGGGGUAGAAUUCCACGUGUAGCGGUGAAAUGCGUAGAGAUGUGGAGGAAUACCGAAGGCGAAGGCAGCCCCUUGGGAAUGUACUGACGCUCAUGUGCGAAAGCGUGGGGAGCAAACAGG